CCUACGGGAGGCAGCAGUGAGGAAUAUUGGUCAAUGGGCGAGAACCUGAACCAGCCAAGUCGCGUGAAGGAUGAAGGUUCUAUGGUUUGUAAACUUCUUUUAUAUGGGAAUAAAGUGCGGUACGUGUCCCUUUUUGUAUGUACCCUAUGAAUAAGCAUCGGCUAACUCCGUGCCAGCAGCCGCGGUAAUACGGAGGAUGCGAGCGUUAUCCGGAUUUAUUGGGUUUAAAGGGUGCGUAGGUGGUUAGUUAAGUCAGCGGUGAAAGUUUGUGGCUCAACCGUAAAAUUGCCGUUGAUACUGGUAGACUUGAGUAUAUUUGAGGUAGGCGGAAUGCGUGGUGUAGCGGUGAAAUGCAUAGAUAUCACGCAGAACUCCGAUUGCGAAGGCAGCUUACUAGACUAUAACUGACACUGAGGCACGAAAGCGUGGGGAUCAAACAGGAUUAGAUACCCUAGUAGUC
rnacentral:rRNA from 1 species